rnacentral:rRNA from 1 species
AGCGAACGCUGGCGGCAGGCCUAACACAUGCAAGUCGAACGAAGUCUUCGGACUUAGUGGCGGACGGGUGAGUAACACGUGGGAACGUGCCUUUAGGUUCGGAAUAACUCAGGGAAACUUGUGCUAAUACCGAAUGUGCCCUUCGGGGGAAAGAUUUAUCGCCUUUAGAGCGGCCCGCGUCGGAUUAGCUAGUUGGUGAGGUAAAGGCUCACCAAGGCGACGAUCAGUAGCUGGUCUGAGAGGAUGAUCAGCCACAUUGGGACUGCGACACGGCCCAAACUCCUACGGGAGGCAGCAGUGGGGAAUCUUGCGCAAUGGGCGAAAGCCUGACGCAGCCAUGCCGCGUGAAUGAUGAAGGUCUUAGGAUUGUAAAAUUCUUUCACCGGGGACGAUAAUGACGGUACCCGGAGAAGAAGCCCCGGCUAACUUCGUGCCAGCCGCCGCAGUAAGAC